rnacentral:lncRNA from 1 species
GUUUUAGACGUCAGCUAGGAGGAGCACCGACGUGAACUACCCUGACAGGAAAUCAAGCGUCAAUCUUUUCAGCUUCUUUAAGAAGAAUAGACGUCGGAUCCCGAUCAAACAUUGACGUCUAUAGACGUCAGUUUCUGACGCAACCGGCACCCAAUUUCAUUUUAAAUAAACCGCAGACCCUUCUAACCACUCAGUUUCUGAUCGCGUCUUCAUCUCUUCUCCUUUUUCUCUGCUUCUCCUCUUCUUUUACUCCCUUGCGCACCUCUUC